CAGGCGACCUGGUUCCUCUCAGGCAGACCAAGGCUGACCUCAGGAGGGAGAAGGACAGCCUGCAUCUCAUCCAGGCGACCACACUGCUUCUUGGCUGCUGUUUCUUAUCCGCCAGUGUUUCGGCGAGUCUUGCGUAGAAGCUCUGCGCCCUUGGUCCCAUCCCUCCUGCCGUCAAGUCCGGUGUCCCAACCUCACUACAACGCUGACUACUGCCUUAAGUGUGGUAGUGGAGGAUAGAGGCCGAGUGGAGGCUACAGCGGACUAUUCCUGCGAGAAGGGGAGGAGGAUAGUCAGGAAUAGUCAGCGGAAGUGUGGUAGUAAUGGUAUCUGGAGUGGCAGUCAACCGCGCUGUGAAUAUGUGACCUGCGACCUACCACAAGGCUUGGAUAAUGGUAGAAUAGUCCGACUCAACCAGACCCUGGAAUACGGUAGCCUGGUCGAAUAUCACUGUCUACCGGAACACAGGCUGGUCGGGGGGAGCUUCCGGAGGUCAUGUGGCGAGCUGGGCGAGUGGUUGGGUGGAGAACCGAAGUGUGUGUUGGGUCCAGAGGAUGCCUACAACACCAUAGGCUCCGAUAGUAGUAGUAGUAGUGAGUACUACUUCUACGCUUCUACCGCUAGCAACACCGGG